rnacentral:lncRNA from 1 species
AACCUUAAAAAGAAGAAAAAUUAUCCACUUGUUCAUUUUGCAGGUGUCCUCACCUCUUUCCAUCCUAUACCCAAUGGCCAACCUCCAGCGUAUGAUCAAAUACAAACACAACACUCACAGCUCUGUCCAGCAGCCAAUGACAGGACGGCAUUCGUUUGCAAGGACCAAUCAGGCGUCAGCAAACAGCGAGUGACUCACCGGCCAGACAGUCUGGAGUUUACAGUGGAGCUGAACGGAUACGCAGAAUUUGGCCCUUUUCCGCCGAGCUGCACGUCUAGAGGGACUUCCACUGCAAAGGAUUGUGGGAACGUCAGUUGUACAGGGAUUUCCUCUCAGCUGGAGUCUUCAGAUGCCUUUGACGAUCUAAAUGACUCCGACUCCUUCCCGCCUCCUCCGCCCCCUGUUUUCUUCGAUCCGUCUGAUUCCCGGGCCGCUGUCACUGAAGCCGAGGACGCCCCUGCAGCACCGGUCCGCGGCAGCACCGCCAGGGUCAGCUUCAGAGAGCCAAUCAGCUGCAGCUAUUCAGUGGAAGAGGAAGAGUGGGAGGAAGAGGAACAGGUGGAGAUGCAGAGAAGAGAGGGAGAGGAAGAGGAGCAGGAGGAAGAUGGAGAGGAAGUUGAAGGAAGUUUGGGACACAGGUUGCGUUACUGCAUUGAAGUACCAUCUCAAAUGGAGCUGCUGGAUGGGUCGUACCACCGCAGUUUCCGCCGGGCAAGCGGUGGCCACCAUCCCACGGAGAAGAGGCUCAGACGCUCCCGAGGUUCACGAAGCGACAGACCUCGUCUGGAAACCCUGGAAAGCAGGGUAGGAGACCGCAGGCGGUCCAACAGCAUCCUGGACGGCAGCCUCACCCUGCACUCCACCCGCUACCGACAUGAAGACUCCUGCUCCACCUGCUCCUCUUCCUCAGACUCCGAGGAGGAAGGCUUCUUUCUGGGCCAGCGCAUUCCUCUGCCGCCGCAGCUGACGGGUGGAGAGAGAGCAGCAGAAGGACAGACAGAGGACGAGGACAAGAGCCGAAGAGGAAGCUUCAGGAGAAGAAGGACACAGAGUCUCAGUAGAAAAGACAAGGACAAGAACUGCAUACUGUCCUGA